rnacentral:rRNA from 1 species
UACGUAGGGUGCAAGCGUUGUCCGGAAUUAUUGGGCGUAAAGAGCUCGUAGGCGGUCUGUCGCGUCGGCUGUGAAAACCCGAGGCUCAACCUCGGGCCUGCAGUCGAUACGGGCAAACUAGAGUACUGCAGGGGAGACUGGAAUUCCUGGUGUAGCGGUGAAAUGCGCAGAUAUCUGGAGGAACACCGGUGGCGAAGGCGGCAUCCUGGACCGAUAUUGACGCUGAGGAGCGAAAGCCAGGGGAGCAAACGGG